AUUGAACGCUGGCGGCAUGCCUUACACAUGCAAGUCGAACGGUAACAGGUCUUCGGAUGCUGACGAGUGGCGAACGGGUGAGUAAUACAUCGGAACGUGCCUAGUAGUGGGGGAUAACUACUCGAAAGAGUGGCUAAUACCGCAUGAGAUCUACGGAUGAAAGCAGGGGAUCGCAAGACCUUGUGCUACUAGAGCGGCCGAUGGCAGAUUAGGUAGUUGGUGGGAUAAAAGCUUACCAAGCCGACGAUCUGUAGCUGGUCUGAGAGGACGAUCAGCCAAACUGGGAAUGAGACACGGCCCAGACUCCUACGGGAGGAAGCAGUGGGGAAUUUUGGACAAUGGGGGCAAGCCUGAUCCAGCAAUGCCGCGUGCAGGAUGAAGGCCUUCGGGUUGUAAACUGCUUUUGUACGGAACGAAAAGCCCCGGGUUAAUACCCUGGGGUCAUGACGGUACCGUAAGAAUAAGCACCGGCUAACUACGUGCCAGCAGCCGCCGUAA
rnacentral:rRNA from 1 species